rnacentral:rRNA from 1 species
CCUACGGGUGGCAGCAGUAGGGAAUCUUCCUCAAUGGGCGAAAGUCUGAUGGAGCAACGCAGCGUGGGUGAUGAAUGUCCUCGGAGCGUAAAACUCCGUUGAUAGAGAAGUAAGUGCGUGAGCGUAACUGUUCACGUAUCGACGGUAUCUAACCAGAACGCCACGGCUAACUACGUGACAGCAGCUGCGGUAAUACGUAGGUGGCAAGCGUUAUCCGGAUUUAUUGGGCGUAAGGGGAACGGAGGCGGUAUUUUAAGUCUGAGGUGAAAGCCUUCGGCUUAACCGGUGUAGUGCAUUGGAAACUGGGAGACUGGAGUGCAGAAGAGGAGAGUGGAACUCCAUGUGUAGCGGUGAAAUGCGUAGAUAUAUGGAGGAACACCAGUGGCGAAGGCGACUCUCUGGUCUGUAACUGACGCUGAGGUUCGAAAGCGUGGGUAGCAAACAGGAUUAGAUACCCUAGUAGUC